CCCGUCAAUCGGAUGGCUGGUUUCAUUAGCGGAUCUUCGCUGCUAAAGGAAUGAAAAAGGAAUCGUGUGAAAAUCACGAGCAGACGUGCUACUGUAAGUAUCCGUUUCGAGUGUCGAAACAAGUGCAUCCCGGAUUUCCCAUUGUUCCCUGAGGAAUGAGAAGGGGGGAGUCGCAUGAUACAAGCCAGGAGACUUGCCAGCUUUCUCAAUGGUCA
rnacentral:ncRNA from 1 species